rnacentral:tRNA from 1 species
AUUUAAAUAAUUUAAAUAAAAUAUUGAUUUGUGGAGUCAAAAAUAUGAGUAAACUCAUUUUAAAUA